UACAGGGGGUGCAAACGUUGCUCGGAAUUACUGGGCGUAAAGCGUGCGCAGGCGGUUUGUUAAGUCUGCUGUGAAAUCCCCGAGCUCAACUUGGGAAUUGCAGUGGAUACUGGCAAGCUGGAGUACGGUAGAGGAAGGUGGAAUUCCCGGUGUAGCAGUGAAAUGCGUAGAGAUCGGGAGGAACACCAGUGGCGAAGGCGGCCUUCUGGACCAGUACUGACGCUCAUGCACGAAAGCGUGGGGAGCAAACAGG
rnacentral:rRNA from 1 species